GGCGCGCCUAAUGCAUGCAAGUCGAGCGACGCAUUUCUAGUUCGUAAGAACCGGAUCUGACGGAGCGGCGAACGGGUGCGUAACACGUGACCAAUCUGCCCCGAAGACCGGGAUAACCUUUCGAAAGAAUGGCUAAUACCGGAUACCCUCCGAGAACCGCAUGGUUCAUUGAGGAAAACUCAGGUGCUUCGGGAUGAGGUCGCGGCCCAUCAGCUUGUUGGUGAGGUAAUGGCUCACCAAGGCUAUGACGGGUAGCUGGUCUGAGAGGACGAUCAGCCACACUGGAACUGAGACACGGUCCAGACUCCUACGGGAGGCAGCAGCAGGGAAUCUUGCGCAAUGGGCGAAAGCCUGACGCAGCGACGCCGCGUGGGGGAUGAAGGCCUUCGGGUUGUAAACCCCUUUCAGGAGGGAAGAAAAUGACGGUACCUCCAGAAGAAGCCCCGGCCAACUACGUGCCAGCAGCCGCGGUAAUACGUAGGGGGCGAGCGUUGUCCGGAUUUAUUGGGCGUAAAGGGCUCGUAGGCGGCUUAACAAGUCGGCCGUGAAAACCCAGGGCUCAACCCUGGGACGCCGGUCGAGACUGUUAUGGCUAGGGUCCGGUAGAGGAGAAUGGAAUUCCCGGUGUAGCGGUGAAAUGCGCAGAUAUCGGGAGGAACACCAGUAGCGAAGGCGGUUCUCUGGGCCGGUACCGACGCUGAGGAGCGAAAGCGUGGGGAGCAAACAGGAUUAGAUACCCUGGUAGUCCACGCCGUAAACGUUGGGUACUAGGUGUGGCGUCUUUAUCAACGGAUGCCGUGCCGAAGCUAACGCAUUAAGUACCCCGCCUGGGGAGUACGGCCGCAAGGCUAAAACUCAAAGGAAUUGACGGGAGCCCGCACAAGCGGCGGAGCAUGCGGCUUAAUUCGAUGCAACCCGAAGAACCUUACCUGGACUUGACAUCACGGGAAAAACCUUGGAAACAAGGUGUGCGUAAGCGUCCGUGACAGGUGGUGCAUGGUUGUCGUCAGCUCGUGUCGUGAGAUGUUGGGUUAAGUCCCGCAACGAGCGCAACCCCUAUCCUAUGUUGCCAGCACGUCAUGGUGGGGACUCAUAGGAGACUGCCGGGGACAACUCGGAGGAAGGUGGGGACGACGUCAAAUCAUCAUGCCCCUUAUGUUCAGGGCUGCACGCAUGCUACAAUGGUCAGUACAACGGGCCGCGAUCUCGCGAGAGUGAGCUAAUCCCAUAAAGCUGGCCCCAGUUCGGAUUGGAGUCUGCAACUCGACUCCAUGAAGUCGGAGUCGCUAGUAAUCGCAAAUCAGCAAAGUUGCGGUGAAUACGUUCUCGGGCUUUGUACACACCGCCCGUCACACCACGGAAGUAGGCAACGCCCAAAGUCAGUGGCCCAACUCUUCGGAGAGGGAACUGCCUAAGGCGGGGUCUGUGACUGGGGUG
rnacentral:rRNA from 1 species